AUGGGGGUGAGGGAGCCGGUGGCAAUGGAGAUACCGGUGGAGGAGGGGGCGGCGGCGAGGGUGCCGCCGCGGAUCAGGAGGAGGCUGCUCGAGGGCAGGACCAGCGGCGGCGGCGGGCCGGCCAGCGCCGAGGAAAUCGACGCCAAGCUCAAGGAGGCCGACCACCGUAGGCAGCAAUUCUACGAUUGGUUAUCCUGCAAAGCAAGGAAGAAGCCACGGAGCCCAUCGUGGUCGUCUCAAGAGGAAGAUUACGGACAGUGCCUUGAAGCCAAGCUUCAGGCAGCUGAGCAGAAAAGGCUAAGCCUCUUGGCAAAGGCACAGAACCGGUUAGCCAAGUUGGAUGAACUCCGACAAGCAACGAAGAAUGAUGUGGAAAUGCGGAUUGAGAAGGAGAAGGAAGAACUUGAGACUAGAAUCGAGACUCGUGUUCGGCAGGCACAGGAAAACCGUAUGCGCCUUCUGCAUGCAGAUAUGCAGAGGCGGGCCGCACUGAAGGAGAGAACAGAGAGGUCCCUCAUGCAGAAGGCGACAUCUGAGAGCAAGUAUACAGAGCGGGUGCGAUCUGCUAUCCUGGAAAAGCGUGCUGCUGCUGAGAAGAAACGGCUGGCGUUGUUAGAAGCUGAGAAGAGGAAGGCUCAUGCUCGGCUCAUGCAUAUUCAACGAGCAGCCAUGACUGUAAGCAGCCACAGAGAAGCAGAGAGGAUUAAAUUGAAACAACAUCUUGAAAGCAAACUUCAGAGGGCCAAGAGGAAGAGAGCUGAAUAUUUGAAGCAGCGAGGAGGUCCAUGCAGUUCUGCUGAUGCUGACUACAUCAAGCAUGCAUAUUUUCUUUCAAGAAAGCUUGCAAGGUGCUGGAGAAGUUUUGUGAAGUCCAGGAAGACAACACUUGCCUUAGCUCAAGCUUAUGAUGCUUUGGGAAUUAAUGAAAAAUCUGUGAAGUCAAUGCCAUUUGAGGAAUUAGCUAUGCUGAUGGGAUCUUCCACAGCUCUUGAGGCUACUAAGGCAUUACUUGACCAGUUCGAGAGGCGUGUGACUCUUUGUCAGUCAGCAAGUUCAUCAUCUGCAGAAAAUAUUGACCAUCUGCUGAAACGCCUUGUGGCUCCAAAGAGGAAGGUACCUCCGAGUAGAGACGGAAGAACAAGGUCUAGAUAUUCACUGAGGGUGGCACUCUGUGCUUACAUGAUCCUGGCUCAUCCUAGUGCUGUUUUAAGUGGAGAUGGUGAGCAAGAGAAGCUACUCAUGGAGUCAGCAGCAAACUUUGUCACGGAGUUUGAGCUGUUGGUUAAGACAAUACUCGAGGGACCGGGAAGAGCCUCAAGGCAGCCAUUUCUUGAUGCUGCUGAAUCAUCUAGUUACCAGAAGUCUGAUGAUGUUGCCAGUCAAAGUAAAUUCAAGACCCGGCUGGUUAAUUUUGACAAAGCUUGGUGCACCUACCUUUACAGAUUUGUGGUGUGGAAAGUAAAAGAUGCAAGAUCAUUGGAGGGUGAUCUUGUUAGGGCUGCAUGCAAGCUUGAGCUGUCAAUGAUGCAAACAUGCAAGUUAACUGCCGACGGGCAGUCAUACAACCUCACCCAUGAUAUGAAGGCCAUUCAGAAGCAGGUUUCUGACGACCACAAACUCCUAAGGGAGAAGGUUCAGCAACUGAGUGGUGAUGCAGGGAUUGAGCGGAUGGACUCUGCUCUCUCAGAUGCAAGGUCGAAGUUCUUUGAAGCAAAUGAGAAUGGAAGUCCAUUGGCGACACCUGUUGCAAACGUAUCUACUCCUCUGAGCAUUAAUUCAUCUGGAAAGCUCCUGCCUUCUGAGGUUAAUGUUAGUUCCGAAACAACAUCAAGCAGCACAUCACCAGUGAAUCGGCCUACAGAGAAUGAGCAGAUGGUCAAUGAGAUGCUUCAUGAGGACGGUGGUGCGAUUCCUGGCAAUUCUAAUGAUGCCCGCACCAUCGAGAAGGAUUUCCAAGACAAAGUGAGGGAAACAAUGGAGAAAGCUUUCUGGGAUGUGGUUACUGACUCCAUGAGAGGAGACAAACCUGACUACAGCCAACUGAUCAACCUGGUAAAGGAAGUGAGGGAUUCGUUGUACGACUUGGCUCCCAAGGGAUGGAAGGAGGAAAUCUAUGAGAACAUUGACCUCGAAAUUUUGUCCCAGGUACUCGAGUCAGGCUCCCAGGACACCCAAUAUCUGGGGCAGAUUUUGCAGUACUCUCUGGAUAUGGUCAGAAAGCUGUCUGCUGCUGCAAAGGAUGAUGAGAUGAAGGCAAGUCAUGACAAAUUAUUGAGCGAGUUGGCUGCAAGUUCUGAAGAUAAUGAUAAUGGAGUCAGCUCGUUCGUCAUUGCUGUCAUCAAGGGUCUGCGUUUCACUCUGGAAGAAAUAAAGCAACUGCAAGUAGAAGUGAGCAAGGCAUAUGUUCAGCUGAUGCAACCGACGAUAAAAGGCUCGGCUGGAGUGAAGUACCUGCAGAAGGCUUUCGGCGAUCGCUAUGGACCUCCUGCCAAUGCGUCAGCUUCUCUCCCUGUAACUCUGCAGUGGAUUUCAGCAUCAAAGAGCAUCGUGGAAGCAGAAUGGAGGGAACAUCUGGGCUCUCUUUCAGUUCUGCCUGCAGCAAAUCAUGCUCAGCCCCUUGUUACAGUGCUCCGAGCUGGCCAUGGAGCUCCAACAGCUGCUGUACCUUCAGCAGGUAGUUCAGGUUUACCUGAGUGCAAGGGAGCAAAGGUUGACAAGCUUGUGAGGGUUGGCUUGUUGCAGCUUGUUAGUGGUAUGGAUGGCUUGCAAUUGCAGUCAACUCCUGAGAGCUUCCACCUCAACUUUCUGAGAUUGAGGGCCGUGCAGGGCCAAUUUCAAGAAGUGAUUGUGAUGGCUACGAGCAUGCUCGUCCUGCGACAAGUCCUGAUGAGUGAGAAUUCUAAGAUCACUCCUCUGGAACUGGAGACUGUCAUCUCAGAACUCUUCGGCACUCUGGUGAAGCUGCUGGAUAACUCCCGCGAAGCAGGCACUGAAGAGAUCGUGGAAACGAUGAUGAACGCGUCGGCCUCGGCCGGCUCUUUGUCGGCCGCCAAGAUUCAGGCGAGGAGGCAGAUAAUAACCCGGGUGGUCUUCAAGAGCCUCCAAGCGGACGACGUCGUCUUCAAGAAGGUCUCCCGGGCGGUCCACUGCGCCUUCCGUGGCGUCCUCCUCGGCGGCAGCGGCGCCAAGGGCCAGAAGCUGGCGGAUGCAGCCCUGCGUCGCGUCGGCGCGGGGAAGCUCGCUGACCGUGUGGUGAAGGCGGCUGAAGUGCUCAUCAGGGUGGCCACGGUCUCGGAGAAGGUCCAUGGUCCGUGGUACAAAGCGCUCGCCUGA
rnacentral:rRNA from 1 species